GACGUAGGGGGCCAGCGUUGCUCGGAAUAACUGGGCGUAAAGGGUCUGUAGGCGGUGUGGCAAGUCGGGAGUGAAAUCUCUGGGCUUAACUCAGGGGCUGCUUCCGAAACUGCCGUGCUCGAGUGCGAGAGAGGUGAGUGGAAUUGCAGGUGUAGCGGUGAAAUGCGUAGAUAUCUGCAGGAACACCCGUGGCGAAGGCGGCUCACUGGAUCGCAACUGACGCUGAGAGACGAAAGCUAGGGGAGCAAACAGGAUUAGAUACCCUGGUAGUCCUAGCCCUAAACGAUCAGAACUUGGGGUGCAUCCCGUUGGGGGUGCGUCCCGUAGCUAACGCGUUAAGUUCUGCGCCUGGGGAGUACGGUCGCAAGACUGAAACUCAAAG
rnacentral:rRNA from 1 species